rnacentral:lncRNA from 1 species
GUGUUUUAGUACAUAUUGUUGUGUUUUUUUGAAGAUUUUUUUUGUGUACUGUCAAACUACGAUUCUCAUUUUCCUACUAUUUUUCUCAGAAAGCUGUACUUGCUAACAUCAAACAGAAUUUCAAAUUUUGCUAAUGGUGUGAUGUAGAGGGAGUUUUAACUGAAAAUCUAAAUGUUCCUAUUAUCAGUAUUUUUCUCCUACAGAACAUGAAAACAGUGUUCAUCUUUUCAUUUAAGGUGUUUUUGACACAUUGAAUGCUUCAGUUAUGGGAAGAUUUCUGGUAUCUUUAAGCAUUUUCAUUUGAAAUGGGGUCUAGAGUCCACUGAUUUUGUUAACUUUAUGUUUGUAUGCUUUAUAUUUGUGUGCACAGGCUAAAUCAGAGACUCACAGGAGCUCCUAUAGAUUCCUUGGCUGAAUUACUGAAAAUGCAUCUCAGGACUCCGAGACCUGUGUAUGGUCAUGCACAGUCAAAUGAAAGAAGACCCUAAAAGUAAGCCAACUGCUGGAGGAGUGCUGUGGAUGCCUGAUGCUCCUUCUGUUACUCUCUGCUGUGGAACUGGGAGUAGUGAUGCAGAAACUGUUUUGGACUGAGUAAUUUGGCCUGAGAUGAAGAAGGUGACCUGUGUCAGAUUCAUUGGCUAGGAAUAAUAUAAAGGUACAUCCAAUAUGAA